UUUCUUGAUUUUAUAUGUAUAAAACGUAUAUAAUAAGAAUGUUAGGUAACUAACUAUGGCGAUAAACGUUAUAUAGAAUAUCCGUAGUGGACCCGGGGGCGGUACCCGGCGCCUCCACCAUAGCCUAUGUGUUGCAUGUGCUUUGGUGGGGGCGAAAUAGGAUCGACGCGCGCAGUAAAAAUAUGAUUUUUGCUCGGUAGGCACCACCGUUAUCGGACCGUUGUUAUAAGUGCAAACUUAAACAUGAAUAAUAUGAACGAUAACGCUAAGCAAGCCUUUGCAGUUCCUGCGAUUGCUGCUUAACUUAAACGUACGCGGUCGGGGGGCGCCGGGCAACAGAAGCCCCCACU
rnacentral:tmRNA from 1 species